rnacentral:rRNA from 1 species
AGCAGCCGCGGUAAUUCCAGCUCCAAUAGCGUAUAUUAAAGUUGUUGCAGUUAAAAAGCUCGUAGUUGAAUUUCGGGACUAAUAUGUCGGUCGUGCCUCGGUACGCACUGGCUUAUUGGUUUCUCCUUUCUGAAGAACCAUGAUGUCAUUUAUUUGGUGUCGUGGGGAAUCAGGACUGUUACUUUGAAAAAUUAGAGUGUUUAAAGCAGGCUCACGCUUGAAUACAUUAGCAUGGAAUAAUGAAAUAGAACGUUUGAUUCUAUUUUGUUGGUUUCUAGGAUCGACGUAAUGAUUAAUAGGGAUAGUUGGGGGCAUUAGUAUUCAAUUGUCAGAGGUGAAAUUCUUGGAUUUAUUGAAGACUAACUACUGCGAAAGCAUUUGCCAAGGAUGUUUUCAUUAAUCAAGAACGAAAGUUAGGGGAUCGAAGACGAUCA